GAUGAACGCUGGCGGCGUGCCUAAUACAUGCAAGUCGAGCGAACAGACGGGGAGCUUGCUCCUCUGACGUUAGCGGCGGACGGGUGAGUAACACGUGGAUAACCUACCUAUAAGACUGGGAUAACUUCGGGAAACCGGAGCUAAUACCGGAUAAUAUAUUGAACCGCAUGGUUCAAUAGUGAAAGACGGUUUUGCUGUCACUUAUAGAUGGAUCCGCGCCGCAUUAGCUAGUUGGUAAGGUAACGGCUUACCAAGGCAACGAUGCGUAGCCGACCUGAGAGGGUGAUCGGCCACACUGGAACUGAGACACGGUCCAGACUCCUACGGGAGGCAGCAGUAGGGAAUCUUCCGCAAUGGGCGAAAGCCUGACGGAGCAACGCCGCGUGAGUGAUGAAGGUCUUCGGAUCGGAAAACUCUGUUAUUAGGGAAGAACAAAUGUGUAAGUAACUAUGCACGUCUUGACGGUACCUAAUCAGAAAGCCACGGCUAACUACGUG
rnacentral:rRNA from 1 species